rnacentral:tRNA from 1 species
GGGGGUGAAUGUCGUCUGGUGGCGGUCGCGGACUUCAAAUCCGUCGUGGGGCUCAAACGUCCCUGGUGAGUUCGAUUCUCACGCGCCCCCGCCA